UACGUAGGGUGCGAGCGUUGUCCGGAUUUAUUGGGCGUAAAGAGCUCGUAGGCGGUCUGUCGCGUCGGAUGUGAAAACCCAGGGCUCAACUCUGGGCCUGCAUUCGAUACGGGCAGACUAGAGUACGGCAGGGGAGACUGGAAUUCCUGGUGUAGCGGUGAAAUGCGCAGAUAUCAGGAGGAACACCGGUGGCGAAGGCGGGUCUCUGGGCCGGAACUGACGCUGAGGAGCGAAAGCGUGGGGAGCGAACAGG
rnacentral:rRNA from 1 species